rnacentral:lncRNA from 1 species
CAGUGAGUCUUUGUCUCAAAAAAAAAAAAAUUUUUACGAUAAAAUGCAUCAAUCUUAAGGGUUGAGAUUGACAAGUUUAGGUGACUGUACACACCUGACCAUCACCCGUCACACAGAACAUCCCGUCACACGGAACAUCUCACCUGUCACACAGAACAUCCCUUCACCCCUCACACGGAACAUCCUGUCACCUGCUGACAUGGAACAUCCAAUCACCCGUCACACGGAACAUCCCAUCACACAGAACAUCCCAUCACUUGUCACAUCUCACCCAUCACACGGAACAUCCCAUCACCCGCUGACACGGAACAUCCGAUCACCCGUCACACGGAACAUCCCAUCACCCAUCACAUCUCACCCGUCACAUGGAACAUCCCUUCACCCAUCACAUGGAACAUCUCACCCGUCACACGGAACAUCCCAUCACCUGUCACACGGAACAUCCCGCCACCCGUCACACGGAACAUCCCGUAACCCAUCACAUGGAACAUCCCGUCACCUGUCACACGGAACAUCCCAUCAUCCGUCACAUGGAACAUCUCACCAAUCACACAGAACAUCUCACCCAUCACAUGGAACAUCCCGCCACCCGUCACACGGAACAUCCCGUAACCCAUCACAUGGAACAUCCCGUCACCUGUCACACGGAACAUCCCAUCAUCCAUCACAUGGAACAUCUCACCAAUCACACAGAACAUCUCACCCAUCACAUGGAACAUCCCGUCACCCGCUGACACGGAACAUCCGAUCACCCAUCACAUGGAACAUCUCACCCAUCACACGGAACAUCCCGCCACCCGUCACACGGAACAUCCCGUAACCCAUCACAUGGAACAUCCCGUCACCUGUCACACGGAACAUCCCAUCAUCCGUCACAUGGAACAUCUCACCAAU